rnacentral:rRNA from 1 species
ANAGUUUGAUAAUGGCUCAGAACGAACGCUAGUGGCGUGCUUAACACAUGCAAGUCGAACGAGAAAGCUUCCUUCGGGAAGUGAGUAGAGUGGCGCACGGGUGAGUAACGCGUAGGUAAUUUACCCCGGCAUUUGGAAUAACCAGCCGAAAGGCUGGCUAAUACCAAAUACGCUUCAAUAUACGCGAGUAUGUUGAAGGAAAGAUGACCUCUCCUUGGAAGUUAUCGUGCUGGGAUGAGCCUGCGUACCAUUAGCUAGUUGGUGGGGUAAUGGCCUACCAAGGCUACGAUGGUUAGCGGGUCUGAGAGGAUGAUCCGCCACACUGGAACUGGAACACGGACCAGACUCCUACGGGAGGCAGCAGUGAGGAAUUUUGCACAAUGGGGGCAACCCUGAUGCAGCGACGCCACGUGAGUGAUGAAGGUUUUCGGAUCGUAAAGCUCUGUCAGCAGGGAAGAAAUGUGUAAUGGUUAAUACCCAUUACAUUUGACGGUACCUGCAAAGGAAGCACCGGCUAACUCCGUGCCAGCAGCCGCGGUAAUACGGAGGGUGCGAGCGUUGUUCGGAAUUACUGGGCGUAAAGCGUACGUAGGCGGAUUAGUCAGUUAGAGGUGAAAUCCCAGGGCUCAACCCUGGAACUGCCUUUAAUACUGCUAGUCUUGAGUUCGAGAGAGGUGAGUGGAAUUCCGAGUGUAGAGGUGAAAUUCGUAGAUAUUCGGAGGAACACCAGUGGCGAAGGCGGCUCACUGGCUCGAU